rnacentral:lncRNA from 1 species
GUAGCCCCUCCAGCUUCCUCUGCAGCACUCCUGAGCUGCAAAAGCACUAUGAACAGCUUGUGAAGUCUAAGGAUCAGGUCUGGUCUCCUAAGCUUGAAACCAUUUCCGAAUACAGGAUUAGGUUUUCGCCAUGCAGAUUCAUUGAGUGGAAAGAAAAAGAAAAGCCUGCUGAAUUUUUUACUAGAUAGUUCAUUCUUGAUUAUUAACACCAGAUUGUACACUCAUUUAUAGACCAUAUACAGAUUAAUUAUAUUUCUGGCCAUAACUUUUCCUCAUUCAUUUUACAAUUUUGAGAAAUGGGUGUUUCUUUUUCACUUUUUCUAGACCUGUGUUAAGUACUUUUCUUACAAAGCCGAGAAGCUUCAACUUAUGGACUAAACUUGCAAUAAUUGCUCCGUGAUUCUGAGUCGUGUUUAAAUAUUUUAUACACUGUGUACUAUACUAACUACAUAUUCAUUUGUAUUAUAGGUACUGCAAGUUGAAUUUUUUUUGCUGCAGAUUAGUUUAAAAAAUUGAGAUUAAAGAUUACAAAUUCUUUAUCUUCUUUCCUCUAUCAUAUUAUUACAUUUCACUCUAUUUUUCUCCUGUCUCUUCUUAUUUAUUGUAAAUAUAAACUAAUUAUGGAUUUUAUUAUGUCAUCUAUUUCGUCUAUUUUAUCCAAUUUUUAUGUAGCUAUAUGUUACAUACAGAUCAGCAUAUACUGGUGUGAGUGGAAGCAACAAGGUAAGACAUGAAUGUGCCUAAUGUCUGUGUAUAUAUAUGUACACACACCUUCAUAUACAAUAGUAAUUAUCAGCAAAAAUAAAUAAAUUAAAAAAAGAUAUUUCAUGAUUUACCUCAAUCCUUAUAUAAUACAAUCCAAGAAGCAUAACAAAACAACAAACUUAUCUGAACCUAGGCUUCAAUAGCACACUUUUCAUGACAAAUUAUGCAGCAAAUUCUACAUAAUUUAAUUACUUCACCAAAAACCUUUACAAUUCCUUACACACAUAAGUUCCAAAAUUCCCUUUCCAAAAUAUAUAGAUUCUAAAAAUAUUCCAGCACUACACCCCCCUAGACUUAAGUAGCAAAGUAGCAGUUUACCUUAGUAUAGAGGGUCCAAAAUAAUAAAUAUCUGAAAGGAACUUAACAACUGAAGAAUUUUUCAAGUCCCCUUUAGAAGCAUAGGCUUUGUUAGAUGGUUAUACAGGGACUUAUCAUGCAGUUUUUAUCUGGCUUGUACUUUAUUGUUACAUGCUCAUUAGGUUAGCUAAUUAUUGGUUUUAUAUAAGGGGUAUCUCCUUUAAUUUUCUUAAUAUUUUGCAGACAAAAAAACUGAAGAAUUUUUAGUUAUUUCCCUUUAAUUGGCCAUUGUUAAAGGCUAACAGAAAUGUAUGUAAAAGGGCCUCCUAGUUUAGUCCUUAAUUAACACUGUUAUCUUCUUCAUUUUGGCCGCAGCUACUAAUCCUCAAUAAUAUCUUCCUUUAAUUAUAAUAAAACAAAGAAAACACAAAACCUAUUUAUCGUCCAUGACAUAACCUUAAUUUUGACCCCAAUUGUUACUGGUUACUGGCUAUAAUAACAAAUGGGUGGACUUUGAGACUUGUUUCGAUUAUUUUUCCUAAACAAACAUAUAAUUGAUUAAGUGUAGAGUUAUACAAUUUUCCAUAGUUCAAUACUUACAGCUCACAAUACCCUUAAUUUUGACUUAAAUUGAUUAUUUUUUAUUAAAUAGUCAUCUUAAUUAUAAUUCUAAUUAAACUAAAUGAAUGUUUUAGUUUAAUUUGGAUAGUUUUUACGAUUUUUUAUAAUAAAAUUGUUAUUUUAAACAAAUUUUCUUACAAAACUUUAUUGAACAUUUAAUAAUGAAAAUUUGUGAAAUAGAAAAUAGAGAAAUAUGUUGCAAAUUAUUGUCAUUAUAUUCAUAAUUUUUUUUUAUAUUUGUAAAUAAAUUGUAUAACUUUUUUAUGGUUUAACAUUAUAAUACAAAUUUACUACUUUUUUAAUUUUCAAUAUAAUAAAAUUAGUGUAAAUAAAAUAAAACCAUAAAACAACUUUAGAAGACAUAGUUAGGUAGGUUUGUUAGUUGUUAAUUAUAAUUAACUUUAAAUAUACACUACUAUAUAUUAUCCUGUUAAAAAUGGGAUAAUGGGAUGAGACGAACUAACUUGACACACUAGAAAUUUUGACACUAUAUAUAUAACCACGUUUAAUUACCUUAUAUUGAGUUAUAUACUUGAUAUUACUAAAUUAGAAGUGAUUAUUUUAUUAUAUAAAAAAUCCGAUAUUUUAUUCCUCAUAAAAUUAAUUUUGCAUUAUCCUACUAAUUAUUUUGUAAUUUCCACAUUUUUUAUUGUGUAUAUAAAUUAUUGUGUUUUGUAUAUAAAAGUCUUAAACCUUUUUUAAAAAACUGAGAAGUGGGACAGUGAAAUGAAGUAAAAGAAAUUAUGAGCCAGAAUCAAAUUAUUCAACAUUAAAAAAAAAUUAUUAAAUACAAAAUAAUUUUAAAAAUUAAAAUAAUUAAUUAUUAUAUUAAUUAAAUUAGAGAUUAUUUUAUAAAUUAAAAAAAUUAUUAGUAUCUAAAAUAUUUUUUAUUGUUAAUAAAAAUUUAUAAAGUAACUUUUAAAUUGAUAUGCAAUCAUUAGCUAACAAGUUUAUCUAUUAACUACUUUAUAUUCAGUAUUUUUAAAAAUAUUUUAUAAUCUAAAAUAUUAGUAGAUAAAAGUUUGGUAACUAAUUUAUAAACUAUUUUAUAAAUGUUUAUUAGUAAUAGAAAUUACUUUAGAUACCAAUAAUUUUUUAGUCUAUGAAAUAGUAUCUAAUUUAAGACUAAUUAUUUUUGUUUCUAAAUUUAAUUAUUAUUUAAUGAUUUUCUUGUAGUGAAAGUUUUGAUAGCCCAUUUAUCAUGUGAAAAAACCAUUUUUCCUUAAAAAAUAUAUUUGAGAUUCCAAAAAUGUAUUAUUUUCUAUUUACACCUCUCCAAUUGUAGAAUCUUAAAAUUCUUUUUGGAUAGAAAAAUAUCUUUCAAAUUUUAUAAUCCAAAAUAUAUAUUUUUCUUUAAAAAAAAUACAUUCUCAAAUAUAAAUCGGAAAGUACCUUUUUGAAUUCUUCAAUUCGGAUUUUUUUUUCUUUAAAAAAAUAAUUUUUUGGAUUACAAAAUUAGUAAAGUAUUUUACCUUUCACAUUUUAUAAGCUCUCGGAUUCCAUAAUCUGAAAUAUAUUUUUUUUUAAAGAAACACACUCUAAAAUAUAGAAUUCAAAAGGGACUUACAAUCCAAAAAUAUCUUUUGAAUUCUAUUAUUUGAAUUUGUUCAAUCACUCCUUCCAAAAAGGAAAACAUCAAUAAAAUAAAGGGUAUUUUUUAUAUUUUAAAAGCAUGGGGUGCAAGAGAAAUUAUGGAGGUGCAGGAAGAAACAAUCCAUUUGAUAUACAAAUUGGACUAAAAGAAGUGGUUGAAGGGCCCAAUUUGUUAACUGUUGACGAAAGCAACUAAAUUUAAUCAAAGCCCAGUUGAGUGUUUGAGUCUCAAUGUAAUAAUGAAAACAUGGAAGUUUGUAUGGAGGAAAAUGAAGGAGUUUGAGCAACUCAACCAUAGAUGUACUUUUUUUAGGUCAGUGUUGGAGUCCCCCAUCACCAACACAUCCAAAACAAUUGAAGUACAAGUGCCACUGUCAAUUCUACCAUCAUCAAACUCAGAACCAUAACACAACAAUUUUUUACUAUUUUUCACAAUUUCAGAUGAGACAACCUUUUUCCUUGUCUUUUUUUAGUUUUAGAGAAAUAAGCUUCAAAUGUUGCAUGAUAAAAAAUGACCAAGACAUAAAAGAAUCAUUAAAAUGCAAGAUUAGGUUAAACUCAUUAAGCAUGGUUAGAUGAGACCUAGUUUAGGGUUAAGUUUGAGAAGAUUUGAAGAAUGAUAAGAGAGAAGAGAGAGAAGGUGUGUGUGGGGGUCUGCACUGAGUCAAGCAAACAAGCUCAGCCUUUUUGUCUGCAACAAUUAUGUAAACUAGACUUUAUAGAGUAGAACAGAGUAGAGUGUUUAGGUGAUUAAUGCAUAACAAUUCUGCCCUUUUUUCAUUGUCUUCUCUUGCCUUAUUCAUGGACCCAACUUUAGCCCAACCACAUGUUCUGCUUCCCCAACAAAACAACCUUAUCUCAAUGUAGAAUAAUGUAAUUGUACAUACAAAUUCUUUAUUGUUUCAGUACAAAUCCACUUACAAUUCUAUUCUUUCUAUGCUUUUUCAUUGGUUUGGUUUAAGAUAUAAAACUCAUUGCACUCAAUUAAAUACAACCUUUCUUCAUGUCUUUCCUCUACCUUUUUAAAUACUAUCAUGCAUUUCUAUAAAUGUUGAUAACAGGAUGAAGUUCAAUUAUAUUGGUAACUUCAAAUUUUUUUUAUUUUAUCGAGUAGAUAAAUACUAACAGAUCAAAAUUUUAAUUAUAAUAAAUGUAGUUGUACAUCUAUCAUAUGUAGUUCUACAUGACAUAUUUUUUAAUAAUACGUUUGUCCACACAAAAACACAUUUAUGUAUAUCUAUUGUACUAUUUAUUACAACUUGAAUGUAUAUUUUCUAAAGGAAUUAAUUCAAUGGUAUAUUAUAAAAUGGUUUAACAUAGGUCGCAUGGUGAAUGUAAUUAUAAAAUAGUAUUUGUUCCAUCUAAAAUGGGAAAUUGUAUUGGUUACAUCUGAAACGUGAAAAGUGAAGAUAUAUACAUUAAAAAAAAUCACUAAAUAGAAACUAAUUUUAGAAAUAAAAAAUAAUUAAUUAUUAUAAUGAAUAAAUUAAAAAUCAUUUUAAAGACUAAAAAAAUUAUUGUUAUAAUGAAUAAAUUAAAAAUUAUUUUAAAGACUAAAAAAAUUAUUGGUUUAUAAAUUAGUUUAUAUUAUUGAUAAAUAGUUUUUAAAUUUGUAUCUAAUUAACUAUCAAGAUUUAACUACCAUUUAUUUAGAUUCUAAAUUUGGUAGCAAAAAUCUUGGUAGCUAAUUAGAUACGAAUUUAAAAAUUAUUUAUCAAUAAUAAAAACUAAUUUAGAAAAAAAAUAGUCUCUAAUUUAGUAAAUAUAGCAACUAAUUAUUAUUAUUUUUUCUAAAAUUGGUUUCUAUUCAAGAAUUUUCUUACAGUGAUAUAUGACAUUAAUUAUGGUAGAGGAUUAAGGAUCAUGUAAAUAAAUUUCAUAAUAGAAAGAUAAUCUAUUGUUCUUACACAUAUAUCAUUUGAUGUGUUAAAAGUUUAAAUUAACUUUGCACCGGCUAGUUAAGAUAAAAGAGUUUUACCAACAAAUAUCAGCUUAUUCUAUCUUGAUGAAAUAUUACUUAUUUAAAUUUUCGAGAUUAAACCUCUAAGUACGUAUAAUUAAACCUACAUAUUUCAAAGCAACGAAGUUAGAAAACACUUUAUUGUCACACACAUAUAAUAGAUGUAACCUUUAUUUGAAUAUUAGAGUUUUGUCAUUGUCACUCCAAUGUCUCUUUCUUUUGUUUAUCUGUUUGUUUUCUUUUCUUUUCUUUUGCUUAUAGCAAAAGUUAACACGAAUGCAUUUAUUUCGAUUUAAACUCUAAUUCUUGUAAUUUGAUUCCAACGAAUUGGAAGUUUUGAUGGUCAUUUUUCAUGAGAUAUGUAUGUUGAAAGGAUAAUCCCUCAAGGUGAUUUGUAAAAACAUUAAUUUUGUAAGUUACAUUUAGAAGUUCGCUAAUGGAGUAUAAUAAAAAGAACUUAAUCAAGUUUAUCUUAAAUUUUGUAAGAAAAAGGACUUGAGUUUAUGGGUUGUGAUAUACAGAUUAUACAAAUUAAUUUGUUGACACCUCAACGAUAUAAUAUUAAUUUAGUUGGUCUAAAGUUCAUAGUGAUUUUCUUUAAACACUUAGAUGAGUGAAACAUGUUUUACUUGUGAUUAUUUUAACAUGUGCUUUAUGCAAACUUAAUAUUUCUAUAGUUCAUCUAAUUGUGUUAUGAAGCUCUCCAUGCAAACUUUAUUUUCUAAAACUCGGAUUGUUUGACCAUAUUAGAAAACUCUCCACUUCGUUAGAUGAAGUUGUUUUGCACAGUUUUUUAAAAAAAAUGAAUUAGACAUAGCCUUGGGUUCGUUUUUUCUUUAAAAUCCAUUAAACAAAGCAUUAAACGAAGUCUUCCUUUAUCUAUACUUUUGUAGUUCGUUGCACAACGAGUUAGAUACUACAUCUCAAAAUGAAGUAUCUUUUAUCAUCAAACAUAUAUUACUAACUUAAAUUCAAAACAUGUAUAAUAGAAUAUUAAAUAAUAUAAUAAUACAAAUGUGAUUUAAAACAUCAUAUUGAAAAGAAAGUAUUCUUUUACUUGUUUAAUAAGAACGACUACUAUUUAGUAUGUUAUAAAUGAAUGAAGUGAAUGUUUCAUUUCAAGAAACAAUAAUAUUUUGAGUACAUUGAUGAAUAUAUGUUAAUUUUAUUUUAUUUUGUCUCAAUUCAGUUAACAAUUUGAUUUUGUAAUUAUGUCUUUCAAGUGAUGAUGACAUGGUUUGAGGGAUUUGUAUGUGGUAGGAAUUUAAAAGUUAGGUUAGAACUUUAACAUUUUAUUUGGUAUUCACACUAUAGAAUUCCUCACUCGAACCAUGAUGAAUAGUUUUAAAUAGAAAAACAUUAGAUUCAGCACUCAAAUAUUUUUUUUAAAACUCAAUUGAGUAAGAAACCAAAUUAAUCUUAUCUUCUCUAAAAGUUUUGGUUCUUCAAAGUUCCUUGAAACACUUAGCAAACUAAAUCAUUUUUUUUUCCUCUAAUAAAAUAUCAUUCAAGUAUUGAUUUUUGUAGCUUUUACAAAAAAAAAAGUUAAUGUUUAUUAUCUCCUUUCUUAAAUGAUUAAUAUGUUAGUUUAAGAUAACAAUGAAAGAAUGAUGUGUUGUAGUAAUAUUGUUGUAUUAAUUGGGAUUACAUCGUAUGAGUAUAAAUUGAGUAAUAUGUUGAUAGAUUUAGAUAAGAAAUAUUUGAUACAUAGGAUGAUAUUUUAGGCAAGUUGUAUUUUUUUUAUUAGCAAGAAACAACUAAAAUAAAUUGGUCCACUUAAGAAGUGUCCAACCCUCAUAUAGAGUAAGAAUGAACAAAAGUAUAUUUUCAACUACACAAUUAAAAUCAUAAAGAGUUUAUCUCCUACUGCCUUCCCCAACACUACCAACUAAAGAAGAAUCAUUAAAUUGAAUACAUACAUAAUGAUUCUAAACAUCACUCAGAGAACGAAAAAUUCACUAAGGGUAUCUUUGAAACGAUUCAAGACCAAACAUUAACCUGUAAUAGGAAAAAACUUCAUAAAACAAGUUGUAUUUUAUGAUACUAAAUUUUAGAUUCUAUUAAUAAUUUUUAGUCAAAUAAUAACUAAUUAAUUUUUGUUCGUAUGUAUUAAGAUAUUAAGCGAUAAUAAAUUUUUGCAAUUUGUAGAGGUGAAAUGUGAAUAUGAAAGAGUUUAUGAAUGUAUUAAAAAAUUUAGAAUAUUUAAUUAAAUAAUGUGUGUAUGCAUAAUUAUGAGUUAUGAUUCAUUGAAUUACUUUUAAAUUUGUUUUAUGAUUAACCAUUUUUAUAAUCCUUCUUAAUUAACAUCUCCAUGUUUAUUAUGUGUAUGUAUAUCUACAGUAAAAAACAAGUUACAAUAAUUAGUAAUAUGAUAUUUCAGACUUCUAACGAACCACUAAUAAAUUAGUCUUCUAGAUGCAACUAAAUAUUUUCUUAAACAAACCAUAUUAUAAAUACAAGUUGUGUCUGAAUAAAAAAAAAAUAACAAGAGUAGAGUUUUAUCUGUGUUGUUAACGUAAAGAAAUACAAAACAAAACCUGCACAUACCUGGUCGUUACAUAUUCCAACAACAAGGGUAAAAACCUGCAAAUCGAUCCACACAAAGCAUCCUUACUUUCAAUUUGUCACAUGAACACAUCUUAGAAUGAUUCCAAACAAAAUUAAAACUCUUGCAAGAUCAAAACUCUGCACUGAUCCACUGUUUGAGAGAAAGGUAUCCAAAGUUAUGAAGACUCAGAAAAUAUAUUUGUUUUUUUCCUAACUGAUCACUCAGAUCUCAAGGAGAAUGUAGUAGAAUGGUAGAUGAAGAGUUGAAUCCCAAGAGUUAAACAAUAUUCUCAGAUCUUCAUCUUGAAGGAAGGAAAAAAAAAAAAAAAAUUGGUUGGUUGGUUGCAUCUGCUGCAUGCAUUCCAUGGAAGAAGAGACCAAUGGACAAGGAAAGAGACAGGCGUUUGAGUUGCCCAAGUUUUCUAGCAAGUGCAUGUGUAUUAUUAUACCAGGAGUGGUAUAAAAAUUAUUAUAAUAGAAUAUUAUAAUAAUAAAAAAUAAAAAGAAAAUUGAUGAAUGUUGGAAAGAGGAGGAGCAUAAGGGAGAGAAGAUAAAGAACACGCGCCGGGUGGAUGUAUGCAUGGGGUGAGUGAGUGAAUGAGGAGUGGGACCCGCAGGGAAUGAAAAGGAGAAAGAGAAGCGCGUGAGUAGAUGAAAAACACGACAAGAAGAAGAACAGGAAGAGGAACAUAGAACAAGAAGUACCCAGAUUGAGAUUUGGAUUGAAUUGUGAGUAGUGUGACCUUUGC